GACGAACGCUGGCGGCGUGCUUAACACAUGCAAGUCGAACGGAGUGGCGAACGGGUGAGUAACACGUGGGUGAUCUGCCUUGCACUUCGGGAUAAGCUUGGGAAACUGGGUCUAAUACCGGAUAGUGCAAGAUGAGGUCGCGGACUAUCAGCUUGUUGGUGGGGUAAUGGCCUACAAAGGCGUCGAGGGGUCGCCGGCCUGAGAGGGUGUAAGGCCCCAUUGGGACUGAGAGACGGCCCAGACUCCUACGGGAGGCAGCGGUGGGGAAUAUUGCAAAAUGGGCGGAAGCCGGAUGCAGCGUCGCCGGGUUGGGAAGGAAGGUCUUCGGGUUGUAAACUCGUUUGGACAGGGACGCGGUACCUGUAUAGGAAGCACCGGCUAACUACGUGCCAGCAGCCGCGGUAAUAC
rnacentral:rRNA from 1 species